rfam:Pichia kudriavzevii strain SD108 scaffold00010, whole genome shotgun sequence.
GUUCUUGUAGCGUAAUGGUGAACGCGUCAGUCUCCUAAACUGAAGAUUCUGGGUUCGAGUCCCAGCUAGGACG